UGUGAGGGUGCAAAGUGGGGGGUGCACAGAGUGUGGGUGCAAAGUGGGGGGGUGCACAGAGUGGGGGUGCACACAGGGAGGUGCAGAGUGAUGGUGUGCACAGAGUUGGGGGUGCACAGAGUUGGGGGUGCAAAGUGUGGGGGUGCACAGGGAGCCCUGCCCCCAUGCAUGCGGCUGCUGCCUGGUGCAGCUGCAGCUUUGCUUGCACGGACCCCACUGCCAUGGGGAAAGGCUGCACACAGUGCUGACCUGCAGAGCUCACAGCUGCGAGCUCCCAUCCCUGCUGCAGCCCAUGGCUGCUCAUUGCACGGCUGCUCAUUGCACGGCUGCUCACUGCACUGCUGCUCACUGCACUGCUGCUCCUCACUGCACUGCUUCUCAUUGCUCUGCUCCUCAUUGCGCUGCUCCUUACUGCACUGCUUAUUAAGCUGCUCCUCAUUGCACUGCUCACUGCACUGCUCCUCAUGCUGCUGCUUACUGCACUGCUCCUUACUGCACUGCUCAUUGUGCUGCUCAUUGCACUGUUGCUCAUUGCACUGCCCCUUACUGCACUGCCCUUUACUGCACUGCUCCUUAUUGCACUGCUCACUGCGCUGCUCCUUACUGCACUGCUCCUUACUGCACUGCUGCUCACUGCACUGCUCCUUACUGCACUGCUCAUUGCACUGCUCACUGCACUGCUCCUUACUGCACUGCUCCUUAUUGCACUGCUUACUGCACUGCUCCUUACUGCACUGCUCACUGUGCUGCUCCUUACUGCGCUGCCCCCUAUUGCACGGCUCACCUUGACGAGCGCGGAGUGCAGGUACAUGUUGUGGGGCAUGAUGACGGCCCCCACGAUGCCCACAGCCUGCUCCAGCUGUGGGGUGCCGCAGCCCGGGCACUCGGGGACAAACAGCCCCCGCAGCAGCUGCUUCUGGUUCGGCUUCACCGUCACGUACUGCGGGCAGAAAGCAACGCUGCGCUCAGCCCUGUGCCCAGUGCCCAGCCCUGUGCCCAGCCCUGUGUUCAGUUCUAUGCCCAGCCCUGUGCCCAGCCCUGUGUUCAGUUCUAUGCCCAGCCCUGUGCCCAGCCCUGUGCUCAGCCCUGUGCCCACCUCUGUGCCCUGAUCUUUACCCAGCUCUGUGCCCAGCACUGCUCAGCUCUGUGCCCUGCUCUUUGCCCAGCCCUGUGCCCAGCCCUGUGCUCAGCUCUCUGCUCAGCUCUCUGCU
rnacentral:lncRNA from 1 species